rnacentral:lncRNA from 1 species
UUUUGCAGAAUGAGAGUGUGAGUCUAAAGUCCUACUUUAUAUAACUUAGAACCAUAAAGCUAGACGACAGAAACAGUGAGAAGUACGAAUUCACUAGGGGUGGAGCAUGUAUUCCAAAAGAGGGUGGAACAGAAGGAAAGGGAGCUUCUCUCAUCCCCAUCCACAGAAGCUAUCUACUAGAUUGUGAGCUCCUUAAGUGAUUC